rnacentral:rRNA from 1 species
GACGUAGGGCGCGAGCGUUGUCCGGAUUUAUUGGGCGUAAAGAGCUCGUAGGCGGUUUGGCAAGUCGGGUGUGAAAACUCCGGCUCAACUCGGAGACGCCACUCGAUACUGCUAUGACUCGAGUCCGGUAGGGGAGUGCGGAAUUCCUGGUGUAGCGGUGAAAUGCGCAGAUAUCAGGAGGAACACCGGUGGCGAAGGCGGCACUCUGGGCCGGUACUGACGCUGAGGAGCGAAAGCGUGGGGAGCGAACAGG